rnacentral:rRNA from 1 species
CCGGCCCCCUGGACGAGACUGACGCUCAGGUGCGAAAGCGUGGGGAGCAAACAGGAUUAGAUACCUGGUAGUCCACGCUGUAAACGAUGUCGAUUUGGAGGUGUGCCCUUGAGGCGUGGCUUCCGGAGCUAACGCGUUAAAUCGACCGCUGGGGAGUAUGGCCGCAAGGUUAAAACUCAAAUGAAUUGACGGGGGCCCGCACAAGCGGUGGAGCAUGUGGUUUAAUUCGAUGCAACGCGAAGAACCUUACCUACUCUUGAUAUCCAGAGAACUUAGCAGAGAUGCUUUGGUGCCUUCGGGAACUCUGAGACAGGUGCUGCAUGGCUGUCGUCAGCUCGUGUUGUGAAAUGUUGGGUUAAGUCCCGCAACGAGCGCAACCCUUAUCCUUUGUUGCCAGCGGUUCGGCCGGGAACUCAAAGGAGACUGCCAGUGAUAAACUGGAGGAAGGUGGGGAUGACGUCAAGUCAUCAUGGCCCUUACGAGUAGGGCUACACACGUGCUACAAUGGCGUAUACAAAGAGAAGCGACCUCGCGAGAGCAAGCGGACCUCAUAAAGUACGUCGUAGUCCGGAUUGGAGUCUGCAACUCGACUCCAUGAAGUCGGAAUCGCUAGUAAUCGUAGAUCAGAAUGCUACGGUGAAUACGUUCCCGGGCCUUGUACACACCGCCCGUCACACCAUGGGAGUGGGUUGCAAAAGAAGUAGGUAGCUUAACCUUCGGGAGGGCGCUUACCACUUUGUGAUUCAUGACUGGGGUGAAGUCGUAACAAGGUAACCA